GAACGUAUGGAGAUGUCUGACGGAGCACGCCGCGUGAGUGAUGAAGGUUUUCGGAUCGUAAAGCUCUGUUGUUAGGGAAGAACAAGUGCCGUUUGAAUAAGGUGGCACCUUGACGGUACCUAACCAGAAAGCCACGGCUAACUACGUGCCAGCAGCCGCGGUAAUACGUAGGUGGCAAGCGUUGUCCGGAAUUAUUGGGCGUAAAGGGCUCGCAGGUGGUUUCUUAAGUCUGAUGUGAAAGCCCCCGGCUCAACCGGGGAGGGUCAUUGGAAACUGGGAAACUUGAGUGCAGAAGAGGAAAGUGGAAUUCCACGUGUAGCGGUGAAAUGCGUAGAGAUGUGGAGGAACACCAGUGGCGAAGGCGACUCUCUGGUCUGUAACUGACACUGAGGAGCGAAAGCGUGGGGAGCAAACAGGAUUAGAUACCCUGGUAGUCCACGCCGUAAACGAUGAGUGCUAAGUGUUAGGGGGUUUCCGCCCCUUAGUGCUGCAGCUAACGCAUUAAGCACUCCGCCUGGGGAGUACGGUCGCAAGACUGAAACUCAAGAAUAUUGACAGA
rnacentral:rRNA from 1 species